rnacentral:sRNA from 1 species
UAGAGUCGCCUUAUUACCCGAUAACAAG